rnacentral:rRNA from 1 species
CUUUGUAAUAUUCCGGAGAAGGAGCCUGAGAGACGGCUACUAAGUCUAAGGAUUGCAGCAGGGGCGAAACUUGACCUAUGGAUUUUAUCUGAGGCAGUUAUGGGAAGUAAUAUUAUAUUGUUUCAUAUUUUAAAAGUAUAUGAGGUGAUUAAUUGGAGGGCAAAUCAAGUGCCAGCAGCCGCGGUAAUACUUGUUCCAAGAGUGUGUAUGAUGAUUGAUGCAGUUAAAAAGUCCGUAGUUUAUUUUUUUAAGAAGCAAUAUGAGGUGUACUGUAUAGUUGGGAGAAAGAUGAAAUGUGACGACCCUGACUGGACGAACAGAAGCGAAAGCUGUACACUUGUAUGUAUUUUUUGAACAAGGACGUAAGCUGGAGGAGCGAAGAUGAUUAGAUACCAUUGUAGUUCCAGCAGUAAACUAUGCCGACGAUGUGAUAUGAAAAUAUUAAUUUGUAUUACAUAAUAGAAAUUUGAGUUUUUUGGCUCUGGGGAUAGUAUGAUCGCAAGAUUGAAAAUUAAAGAAAUUGACGGAAGAAUACCACAAGGAGUGGAUUGUGCGGCUUAAUUUGACUCAACGCGAGGUAACUUMCCAAUWUUUUAUUAUUUUGAGAGAACGGUUUUUUGUUUGAGAAUGAUAAUAGUGGUGCAUGCCCGUUUUCAAUGGAUGCUGUGAAGUUUUGAUUAAUUUCAMCAAGACGUGAGACCCUUAUUUUUUAUUAAAGACAGACACAAUCAGUGUAGGAAGGAAAGGAUUAAAACAGGUCCGUUAUGCCCUCUGACAUUUUGGGCUGCACGCGCAAUACAAUAGAUAUAUAAUCUUUAUGGGAUAAUAUUUUGUAAGAGAUAUUUGAACUUGGAAUUGCUAGUAAAUUUUAUUAAAUAAGUAGAAUUGAAUGUGUCCCUGUUCUUUGUACACACCGCCCGUC